rnacentral:rRNA from 1 species
UACGAACUGUGCAAACGUUAUUCGGAAUCACUGGGCUUACAGGGUGCGUAGGCGGCCUGUUAAGUAGGGUGUGAAAGCCCCCGGCUCAACCGGGGAAUGGCGCCCUAAACUGGCGGGCUGGAGUGAGAUAGGGGUGUGCGGAACUUCCGGUGGAGCGGUGAAAUGUGUUGAUAUCGGAAGGAACGCCGGUGGCGAAAGCGUCACACUGGAUCUCAACUGACGCUGAGGCACGAAAGCCAGGGGAGCGAACGGG